UAUGAAUUUAUCCAUGUGUGCAAUAUUUCUAUUAUCUGCAUUAUAUUAUUAGUAAAUAUAUAUUAUAUAUUAUCCAUAUUAUAUCUAUUAUAUUAUUUAUGGUUUAGGCAUUGUCUUGGGUACUGGAGACUCAAUAGUGAACCUAAAAGAUAAAUCCUUUCCCUUGUAGACUUCAGACUACUUGCAAGACAAGAUAAACUAUAUAGGGCAUGAACUGGUAUGUUCAAUGGAGAAAGAUCAGAGAAAGGGGAUGAAUAGUGGAGUGUGGAUGGUGAUUGUAGUCUUUAAAAGGUGGCAAGGAAAGGCCUUCUAAGAAGACAUGUGGAAGAUAGCCAUGCAGCCACCAGGGAAGAGGCUUCCAGAUGAUGCUGAGGCCGUGAGUAGUUCUGGAGAUUAGAAGUGUAAAAUCAGUUUCACUGAGCCAGAAUCAAGGAAGAAUUGACCCCCUAGACACACUUUGCCUCCCUUUAUGCCCCUUGUGAUUACAAGUAUAACUCACCCGAGCAACUCAGAACAUUCUGCUCAACCUCAAGAUCCUUAACAUAAUCACACCUACAAAGUCUCCCUCCACAUUUAAGGAAAAGGAGGAACUGACAGCAUUUGAGACCGGAGAGGCCGAGGCACUGAGUGCUAGGUGGCACAAGGGGCAAGACUAGAAUUCAAGGCCUCUGAUGCCCAAGACUUCCCAACAUUGUCUUCUCCCGCGUUCCCUCCAGGACCACCGCCUCCUUCUGGGCGGGGUCUUGGGCUGCUGUCUGCGCUGAGUGUCCAGCUCUCUCCUUGGGUCGCACUCACGAUCUUCCCGCAGAGACGGCCACACUGCGAUCUUGCAUGCAGCCAGCAGGGGUCAGCAUUGCCCGCACCAAGGGUCGUCCAGCUGCGGCGGGCGAGAGCCUGAGCUCAGCGACGUUUCUCUGGCCACUUCUGGCUGAGUGUGGUGCUGCUUCUCGAUCUUGGCCACACAGUCGUUUCUG
rnacentral:lncRNA from 1 species